AUGCCGGAUGGGAUUAAUGACACGUCCAUUGUCUUGAUUCCAAAGGUUCCCCAUCCAAAGGAGCUGAAGGACUUCCGACCCAUUAGUCUCUGUAAUGUCGUGUAUAAGAUAGUGUCCAAGUGUAUGCUAAACAGGCUUCGGCCUCUGCUCUCAGAACUUAUCUCGGAGAAUCAAAGUGCCUUCAUCCCGGGAAGG
rnacentral:rRNA from 1 species